CUGAGAACUUAAGCGCCAGUAAACGGCGGUGGUAACUAUAACCAUCCUAAGGUAGCGAAAUUCCUUUUCGGGUAAGUUCCGACCUGCACGAAUGGCGUAACGACUUCUCGACUGUCUCAACCAUAGG
rnacentral:rRNA from 1 species